rnacentral:rRNA from 1 species
GGUUCGAUCACAGUCUUCAGCGAUUGAACGCUGGCGGGAUGCUUGCAUACAUGCAAGUCGAACGGCAGCACGGACUUCGGUCUGGUGGCGAGUGGCGAACGGGUGAGUAAUGUAUCGGAACGUGCCUAGUAGCGGGGAUAACUACGCGAAAGCGUAGCUAAUACCGCAUACGCCCUUCGGGGGAAAGCGGGGACCUUCGGGCCUCGCACUAUUAGAGCGGCCGAUAUCGGAUUAGCUAGCUGGUGGGGUAACGGCUCACCAAGGCGACGAUCCGUAGCUGGUUUGGAGAGGACGACCAGCCACACUGGGACCGGAGACACGGCCCAGACUCCUACGGGAGGCAGCAGGUGGGGAAUUUUGGACAAUGGGGGAAACUCCUGAUCCAGCCAUCCCGCGUGUGCGAUGAAGGCCUUCGGGUUGUAAAGCACUUUUGGCAGGGGAAAGAAACGGCACGGGAUAAUACCCCGUGCAACUGACGGUACCUGCAGAAUAAGCACCGGCUAACUACGUGCCACAGCAGCCGCGGUAAUACGUAGGGUGUAAGCGUUAAUCGGAAUUACUGGGCGUAAAGCGUGCGCAGGCGGUUCGGAAAGAAAGAUGUGAAAUCCCAGAGCUUAACUUUGGAACUGCAUUUUUAACUACCGGAGCUAGGAGCGUGUCAGAGGGAGGUGGAAUUCCGCGUGUAGCAGUGAAAUGCGUAGAUAUGCGGAGGAACAACGAUGGCGAAGGCAGCCUCCUGGGAUAACACUGACGCUCAUGCACGAAAGCGUGGGAGCAAACAGGAUUAGAUACCCGGUAGUCCACGCCCUAAACGAUGUCAACUAGCUGUUGGGGCCUUCUGGGCCUUGGUAGCGCAGAAGCACUGGCAGGAAGUUGACCGCCUGGGGAGUACGGUCGCAAGAUUAAAACUCAAGGGAAUUGACGGGGACCCGCACAAGCGGUGGAUGAUGUGGAUUAAUUCGAUGCAACGCGAAAAACCUUACCUACCCUUGACAUGUCUGGAAUCCCGAAGAGAUUUGGGAGUGCUCGCAAGAGAACCGAACACAGGUGCUGCAUGGCUGUCGUCAGCUCGUGUCGUGAGAUGUUGGGUUAAGUCCCGCAACGAGCGCAAUCCUUGUCAUUAGUUGCUACGAAGGGCACUCUAAUGAGACUGCCGGUGACAAACCGGAGGAAGGUGGGGAUGACGUCAAGUCCCUCGCUUUUUGGCCCUUAUGGGUAGGGCUUCACACGUCAUACAAUGGUCGGGACAGAGGGUCGCCAACCCGCGAGGGGGAGCCAAUCCCAGAAACCUGAUCGUAGUCCGGAUCGCAGUCUGCAACUCGACUGCGUGAAGUCGGAAUCGCUAGUAAUCGCGGAUCAGCAUGUCGCGGUGAAUACGUUCCCGGGUCUUGUACACACCGCCCGUCACACCAUGGGAGUGGGUUUUACCAGAAGUAGUUAGCCUAACCGUAAGGAGGGCGAUUACCACGGUAGGAUUCAUGACUGGGGUGAAGUCAAAAUAAGGUAAC